rnacentral:rRNA from 1 species
AACGUAGGAGACAAACGUUAUCCGGAGUUACUGGGCGUAAAGGGCGUGUAGGCGGACUGUUAAGUCUGGCGUGAAAGCUCCCGGCUAAACCGGGAGAGGUCGUUGGAUACUGGCAGACUAGAGGAUGGUAGAGGCGUGUGGAAUUCCGGGUGUAGUGGUGAAAUGCGUAGAGAUCCGGAGGAACACCAGUGGCGAAGGCGACACGCUGGGCCAUACCUGACGCUAAAGCGCGACAGCAUGGGGGGCAAACGGG